rnacentral:lncRNA from 1 species
CCGCCCGGGCUGGCUGAAGCAACCUACCUCAAGUCUCAGGAGAAUUCAUGUCUGCCUGGGGCCCUUCCGAACCUGUGCCAACUAAGGGCCCCCACUGAACCUAGGGAAGUCUGGUCUUCGGGUAUCCUGUCUUGGCCUAGGUACCUGGGUCACAUUUGGUUCUCAGAUCUCAGAUGAGACAGCAGAGGAUGUGCUGACUGUAGCCUAUGAGCAUGGUGUAAACCUGUUUGACACCGCCGAAGUGUACGCAGCAGGAAAGGCUGAAAGAACCCUAGGGAACAUCCUCAAGAGCAAAGGUUGGAGGAGAUCAAGCUAUGUCAUCACUACCAAGAUUUUUUGGGGAGGACA